AUGGCCAACUACACGAGGAACACUGUCCAAGGAUUUGUGCUACUUUGUUUCAUUCUAGUGGUGUGUUUUGCCCGUCUUGGACACACACACGGUAAAGGCAUAAACAACAAGCAGAUCAACAGGAAGAUCGAAGCAAGCCACAUAGUCCAACCCCCUUGUUACAAGGACGAGCACCAGGUCCUGGGCCAGCCAUUCUGCUGUAAAAGGAUAAGCUGUGCUGGCAAAAUCUUGGAGAAUGCUUCAUAA
rnacentral:rRNA from 1 species